UGCAGCGACGCCGCGUGAGGGAUGACGGCCUUCGGGUUGUAAACCUCUUUCACCAGGGACGAAGCGCGAGUGACGGUACCUGGAGAAGAAGCACCGGCCAACUACGUGCCAGCAGCCGCGGUAAUAC
rnacentral:rRNA from 1 species